rnacentral:lncRNA from 1 species
UUGAGAGAGUUUGAGAGGAGAGGAAGAUGAAAUGAUAUGUGUUUUGAUCGAUAUUUUCGCGAGUUGGGUGUUCUAUGGGUGUUUUCCGAUUUAAAUUAAGUGAAAUCAAACCGGGCAAUACUUACCUUAGAUCGACCGAUCCAUACGCGUCGGAUCGACCGAUCUUCUCCUGAGAUCGACCGCUCUACCUCACCCGGAUCGACCGAUCUCUUACAUGGAUCGCCCGUUCUGUUUCUUUAGGAUCGAUCGAUCUCUGCCUGAUCGUGAUACAUGCCUGAAAAUCAUCUAAAAACACAACCAAAAAUCAAUUCACACAAGAAAACAUAAUCACAAAAAAGAAAGAAAAUCAAACCAUGUGGGUUGCCUCCCACUCAGCGCUUG